rnacentral:rRNA from 1 species
UACGGAGGGUGCAAGCGUUAUCCGGAUUUACUGGGUUUAAAGGGUGCGUAGGCGGCCCGAUAAGUCAGUGGUGAAAGCCCGCAGCUUAACUGCGGAAUUGCCAUUGAAACUGUCAGGCUUGAAUAUAGUUGAAGUGGGCGGAAUACAACAUGUAGCGGUGAAAUGCUUAGAUAUGUUGUAGAACACCAAUUGCGUAGGCAGCUCACUAAGCUAAUAUUGACGCUGAGGCACGAAAGCGUGGGGAUCGAAC